rnacentral:rRNA from 1 species
GUAGGGAAUAUUGCACAAUGGAGGAAACUCUGAUGCAGCGACGCCGCGUGAGUGAUGAAGGCCUUCGGGUCGUAAAGCUCUGCCGUAUGGGACUAACACAAUGAAGGUACCAUGCAAGAAAGGAUCGGCUAACUUCGUGCCAGCAGCCGCGGUAAGACGAGGGAUCCUAGCGUUGUUCGUAAUUAUUGGGCGUAAAGCGGGUGUAGGCGGAUUUAUAAGUCAGGUGUGAAAUCCCAGGGCUCAACCCUGGAAGUGCACUUGAUACUGUAAGUCUUGAGUGUGGUAGAGGCUAUUAGAAUUCUUGGUGUAGUGGUGAAAUACGUAGAUAUCAAGAGGAAUACCGGAGGCGAAGGCGGAUAGCUGGGCCAACACUGACGCUGAGACCCGAAAGCGUGGGGAUCAAACAGGAUUAGAUACCCGAGUAGUCC